GUGGGGAAUAUUGGACAAUGGGGGGAACCCUGAUCCAGCCAUGCCGCGUGUGUGAAGAAGGCCUUAGGGUUGUAAAGCUCUUUCGUGGGGGAAGAUAAUGACUGUACCCCAAGAAGAAGCCCCGGCUAACUCCGUGCCAGCAGCCGCGGUAAUACGGAGGGGGCUAGCGUUGUUCGGAAUUACUGGGCGUAAAGCGCACGUAGGCGGACUGGAAAGUCAGGGGUGAAAUCCCGGGGCUCAACCCCGGAACUGCCUUUGAAACUCCCAGUCUUGAGUUCGAGAGAGGUGAGUGGAAUUCCGAGUGUAGAGGUGAAAUUCGUAGAUAUUCGGAGGAACACCAGUGGCGAAGGCGGCUCACUGGCUCGAUACUGACGCUGAGGUGCGAAAGCGUGGGGAGCAAACAGGAUUAGAUACCCUUGUAGUCC
rnacentral:rRNA from 1 species